AAUGGAGCUAUUACAAGGUAUGCACAUCAUGGUUUCUCAAUAUUUUUAAACAUAUUCACACCAUUUGUAAUUUCUAGGAGCCAGCUACACAAAAUCUGAUGAUGGCAUGGAGUUUGUUGCAUCCCGUUCACAUAUUUUUCUAUUUGGGAUCACAGUGGAUUAUGGUGAUCUUCUGGGUUAUUAUUGUGAUUUUUUUUUUAAUUCCCAAUAACCGAAGUGGUUAUGGUCCUUUUUCUAAUAUACAUAUGGUUACGGUCCUUGUUCUAAUGAACACUUUAUUUUCUUCAGAAAUUUGAUGCUGAAACAUGUAUGCAUGAAAAUCCUGCUUCCAAAUAUAAAAAAUUCUUCACCUAUUGUAAUAUAGCAUUAAGCAUUUUAUCGUUGAUGCAUCUAAUUAAGUUGAGCCCUUCCAGUUCACAAUAUCUUGGAUUAUGUUGUUACAAGAUCAUUAGUGGAUGGCAUGACAUUUAAAUUUUGUUCAGUGUGUCUAGUACUCAAGCUACAUCUUUCAAAAUUGAUAAUGUUACAAUCAUGUUGAGAUUGAACCAUAACAAAUGCACAAAAUCCUUAUAGCACCAAUAGUAUUGUUCGACUUUAAGUUAGGUAACUGUGUACCACCCCAAAGAGAUAUCUGCCUGAGAUAUUAUUGGUUUCGCAAUGGAUUUUAAAGUGGUGAACUUAGACAGGGAGGAGCCUUCAUCAUCAUGACAUGAAGUGAACUCAGUUGAAGUCCCUUGUUGAUGAUAACCACCGUAGGUGACCUUGAGAGGGCAAUACUGCAUGAUCUGAGGGAUAUAUUUAGUAUAACAGACCAUAUUCAUUGGUGUGAUAUUUCCUAUGUUACGUCAGCUUAAGACGCUGAGAUAGUUUUCUUAAUGAAUCAUACCUCCCUAUUGAAAAAUUUAGAAAUUUUCUGUUGCA
rnacentral:misc_RNA from 1 species